AUUGAACGCUGGCGGCAUGCCUUACACAUGCAAGUCGAACGGCAGCACGGGUGCUUGCACCUGGUGGCGAGUGGCGAACGGGUGAGUAAUACAUUGGAACGUACCUUAUCGUGGGGGAUAACGCAGCGAAAGCUGUGCUAAUACCGCAUACGCCCUGAGGGGGAAAGCGGGGGAUCGCAAGACCUCGCGCGAUUAGAGCGGCCGAUGCCUGAUUAGCUUGUUGGUGGGGUAAAAGCCCACCAAGGCGACGAUCAGUAGCUGGUUUGAGAGGACGAUCAGCCACACUGGGACUGAGACACGGCCCAGACUCCUACGGGAGGCAGCAGUGGGGAAUUUUGGACAAUGGGGGCAACCCUGAUCCAGCAAUGCCGCGUGAGUGAAGAAGGCCUUCGGGUUGUAAAGCUUUUUUGUCAGGGAAGAAACACCGGCUUUAACACAGUCCGGGAAUGACGGUACCUGAAGAAUAAGCACCGGCUAACUACGUG
rnacentral:rRNA from 1 species